rnacentral:misc_RNA from 1 species
UUUCAGGAUUUCAAAGAAAUAUAUUGACUUAAGAAUUCUUAAUUAUGAGAGAGAAAUCCUUAUUUACAAUACAAUAAAAAGAGCAUCUUUAUCACAAUAGAACAAGAGAAUUAUGCAGUAACAAAUCCCAAAUCCAAAAAUUCCACUAAAAGCACCAUUUGAAAACUAUCAUUUGAACUUAGCUCAAGAAUAAUAUCUAAAAACAAAAGCUAUCAGAGGCCCAACAAGCAA